GUGAGUCAUCGAAUCUUUGAACGCAUAUUGCACCUUCUGGUAUUCUGGGAGGUAUGCCUGUUCGAGCGUCAUUACGACCAACAAGCCCUUAAGCUUGGUAUUGGAUGUUACUAUUUAAUGGUGCGUCUUAAAAUCAAUAAGCAGCAUUCUUAGCUUCGGCGGUAGUAAAUUUAUCCGCUUUCGGCGCUUUAGAUAUUCUGCUAAGUUAUCAAAUUAUCAUGGCUUGACCUCGGAUCAGGUAGGGAUACCCGCUGAACUUAAGCAUAUCAAUAAGCGGAGGA
rnacentral:misc_RNA from 1 species